rnacentral:rRNA from 1 species
UACGUAGGGUGCAAGCGUUAAUCGGAAUUACUGGGCGUAAAGCGUGCGCAGGCGGCUAUGUAAGACAGAUGUGAAAUGCCCGGGCUUAACCUGGGAACUGCAUUUGUGACUGCAUGGCUAGAGUUUGGCAGAGGGGGGUAGAAUUCCACGUGUAGCAGUGAAAUGCGUAGAUAUGUGGAGGAACACCGAUGGCGAAGGCAGCCCCCUGGGUCAAGACUGACGCUCAUGCACGAAAGCGUGGGUAGCAAACAGG